rnacentral:rRNA from 1 species
GAUGAACGCUGGCGGCGUGCCUAAUACAUGCAAGUCGAGCGAACAGACGAGGAGCUUGCUCCUCUGACGUUAGCGGCGGACGGGUGAGUAACACGUGGAUAACCUACCUAUAAGACUGGGAUAACUUCGGGAAACCGGAGCUAAUACCGGAUAAUAUAUUGAACCGCAUGGUUCAAUAGUGAAAGACGGUUUUGCUGUCACUUAUAGAUGGAUCCGCGCCGCAUUAGCUAGUUGGUAAGGUAACGGCUUACCAAGGCGACGAUGCGUAGCCGACCUGAGAGGGUGAUCGGCCACACUGGAACUGAGACACGGUCCAGACUCCUACGGGAGGCAGCAGUAGGGAAUCUUCCGCAAUGGGCGAAAGCAUGACGGAGCAACGCCGCGUGAGUGAUGAAGGUCUUCGGAUCGUAAAACUCUGUUAUUAGGGAAGAACAAAUGUGUAAGUAACUAUGCACGUCUUGACGGUACCUAAUCAGAAAGCAACGGCUAACUACGUG